rnacentral:rRNA from 1 species
GAUGAACGCUGGCGGCGUGCCUAAUACAUGGAAGUCGAACGCUUCACUUCGGUGAAGAGUGGCGAACGGGUGAGUAAUACAUAAGUAACCUGGCAUCUACAGGGGGAUAACUGAUGGAAACGUCAGCUAAGACCGCAUAGGUGUAGAGAUCGCAUGAACUCUAUAUGAAAAGUGCUACGGGACUGGUAGAUGAUGGACUUAUGGCGCAUUAGCUUGUUGGUAGGGUAACGGCCUACCAAGGCGACGAUGCGUAGCCGACCUGAGAGGGUGACCGGCCACACUGGGACUGAGACACGGCCCAGACUCCUACGGGAGGCAGCAGUAGGGAAUUUUCGGCAAUGGGGGAAACCCUGACCGAGCAACGCCGCGUGAAGGAAGAAGUAAUUCGUUAUGUAAACUUCUGUCAUAGAGGAAGAACGGUGGAUAUAGGGAAUGAUAUCCAAGUGACGGUACUCUAUAAGAAAGCCACGGCUAACUACGUG